UUAAGCGACUAAGCGUACACGGUGGAUGCCCUGGCAGUCAGAGGCGAUGAAGGACGUGCUAAUCUGCGAUAAGCGUCGGUGAGGUGAUAUGAACCGUUAUAACCGGCGAUUUCCGAAUGGGGAAACCCAGUGUGUUUCGACACACUAUCAUUAACUGAAUCCAUAGGUUAAUGAGGCGAACCGGGGGAACUGAAACAUCUAAGUACCCCGAGGAAAAGAAAUCAACCGAGAUUCCCCCAGUAGCGGCGAGCGAACGGGGAGGAGCCCAGAGCCUGAAUCAGUGUGUGUGUUAGUGGAAGCGUCUGGAAAGGCGCGCGAUACAGGGUGACAGCCCCGUACACAAAAAUGCACAUAUUGUGAGCUCGAUGAGUAGGGCGGGACACGUGGUAUCCUGUCUGAAUAUGGGGGGACCAUCCUCCAAGGCUAAAUACUCCUGACUGACCGAUAGUGAACCAGUACCGUGAGGGAAAGGCGAAAAGAACCCCGGCGAGGGGAGUGAAAAAGAACCUGAAACCGUGUACGUACAAGCAGUGGGAGCCUCUUUAUGGGGUGACUGCGUACCUUUUGUAUAAUGGGUCAGCGACUUAUAUUCUGUAGCAAGGUUAACCGAAUAGGGGAGCCGAAGGGAAACCGAGUCUUAACUGGGCGUUAAGUUGCAGGGUAUAGACCCGAAACCCGGUGAUCUAGCCAUGGGCAGGUUGAAGGUUGGGUAACACUAACUGGAGGACCGAACCGACUAAUGUUGAAAAAUUAGCGGAUGACUUGUGGCUGGGGGUGAAAGGCCAAUCAAACCGGGAGAUAGCUGGUUCUCCCCGAAAGCUAUUUAGGUAGCGCCUCGUGAAUUCAUCUCCGGGGGUAGAGCACUGUUUCGGCAAGGGGGUCAUCCCGACUUACCAACCCGAUGCAAACUGCGAAUACCGGAGAAUGUUAUCACGGGAGACACACGGCGGGUGCUAACGUCCGUCGUGAAGAGGGAAACAACCCAGACCGCCAGCUAAGGUCCCAAAGUCAUGGUUAAGUGGGAAACGAUGUGGGAAGGCCCAGACAGCCAGGAUGUUGGCUUAGAAGCAGCCAUCAUUUAAAGAAAGCGUAAUAGCUCACUGGUCGAGUCGGCCUGCGCGGAAGAUGUAACGGGGCUAAACCAUGCACCGAAGCUGCGGCAGCGACACUAUGUGUUGUUGGGUAGGGGAGCGUUCUGUAAGCCUGUGAAGGUGGCCUGUGAGGGUUGCUGGAGGUAUCAGAAGUGCGAAUGCUGACAUAAGUAACGAUAAAGCGGGUGAAAAGCCCGCUCGCCGGAAGACCAAGGGUUCCUGUCCAACGUUAAUCGGGGCAGGGUGAGUCGACCCCUAAGGCGAGGCCGAAAGGCGUAGUCGAUGGGAAACAGGUUAAUAUUCCUGUACUUGGUGUUACUGCGAAGGGGGGACGGAGAAGGCUAUGUUGGCCGGGCGACGGUUGUCCCGGUUUAAGCGUGUAGGCUGGUUUUCCAGGCAAAUCCGGAAAACCAAGGCUGAGGCGUGAUGACGAGGCACUACGGUGCUGAAGCGACAAAUGCCCUGCUUCCAGGAAAAGCCUCUAAGCAUCAGGUAACAUCAAAUCGUACCCCAAACCGACACAGGUGGUCAGGUAGAGAAUACCAAGGCGCUUGAGAGAACUCGGGUGAAGGAACUAGGCAAAAUGGUGCCGUAACUUCGGGAGAAGGCACGCUGAUAUGUAGGUGAAGCGACUUGCUCGUGGAGCUGAAAUCAGUCGAAGAUACCAGCUGGCUGCAACUGUUUAUUAAAAACACAGCACUGUGCAAACACGAAAGUGGACGUAUACGGUGUGACGCCUGCCCGGUGCCGGAAGGUUAAUUGAUGGGGUUAGCGGUAACGCGAAGCUCUUGAUCGAAGCCCCGGUAAACGGCGGCCGUAACUAUAACGGUCCUAAGGUAGCGAAAUUCCUUGUCGGGUAAGUUCCGACCUGCACGAAUGGCGUAAUGAUGGCCAGGCUGUCUCCACCCGAGACUCAGUGAAAUUGAACUCGCUGUGAAGAUGCAGUGUACCCGCGGCAAGACGGAAAGACCCCGUGAACCUUUACUAUAGCUUGACACUGAACAUUGAGCCUUGAUGUGUAGGAUAGGUGGGAGGCUUUGAAGUGUGGACGCCAGUCUGCAUGGAGCCGACCUUGAAAUACCACCCUUUAAUGUUUGAUGUUCUAACGUUGGCCCGUAAUCCGGGUUGCGGACAGUGUCUGGUGGGUAGUUUGACUGGGGCGGUCUCCUCCUAAAGAGUAACGGAGGAGCACGAAGGUUGGCUAAUCCUGGUCGGACAUCAGGAGGUUAGUGCAAUGGCAUAAGCCAGCUUGACUGCGAGCGUGACGGCGCGAGCAGGUGCGAAAGCAGGUCAUAGUGAUCCGGUGGUUCUGAAUGGAAGGGCCAUCGCUCAACGGAUAAAAGGUACUCCGGGGAUAACAGGCUGAUACCGCCCAAGAGUUCAUAUCGACGGCGGUGUUUGGCACCUCGAUGUCGGCUCAUCACAUCCUGGGGCUGAAGUAGGUCCCAAGGGUAUGGCUGUUCGCCAUUUAAAGUGGUACGCGAGCUGGGUUUAGAACGUCGUGAGACAGUUCGGUCCCUAUCUGCCGUGGGCGCUGGAGAACUGAGGGGGGCUGCUCCUAGUACGAGAGGAC
rnacentral:rRNA from 1 species